rnacentral:rRNA from 1 species
AUUGAACGCUGGCGGCAGGCCUAACACAUGCAAGUCGAACGGUAACAGGAAACAGCUUGCUGUUUCGCUGACGAGUGGCGGACGGGUGAGUAAUGUCUGGGAAACUGCCUGAUGGAGGGGGAUAACUACUGGAAACGGUAGCUAAUACCGCAUAACGUCGCAAGCCCAAAGAGGGGGACCUUCGGGCCUCUUGCCAUCGGAUGCGCCCAGAUGGGAUUAGCUAGUAGGUGGGGUAACGGCUCACCUAGGCGACGAUCCCUAGCUGGUCUGAGAGGAUGACCAGCCACACUGGAACUGAGACACGGUCCAGACUUCUACGGGAGGCAGCAGUGGGGAAUAUUGCACAAUGGGCGCAAGCCUGAUGCAGCCAUGCCGCGUGUAUGAAGAAGGCCUUCGGGUUGUAAAGUACUUUCAGCGGGGAGGAAGGUAGUAAAGUUAAUACCUUUGCUCAUUGACGUUACCCGCAGAAGAAGCACCGGCUAACUCCGUG